CGGGAGUAACUAUGACUCUC
rnacentral:ncRNA from 3 species